GACAGAGGGUGCAAACGUUGUUCGGAAUUACUGGGCGUAAAGCGCGUGUAGGCGGCAGGGCAAGUCGGAUGUGAAAGCCCACGGCUCAACCGUGGAAGUGCACCCGAAACUGCCUAGCUAGAGUCUCGGAGAGGAAGGUGGAAUGCUUGGUGUAGAGGUGAAAUUCGUAGAUAUCAAGCGGAACACCGGUGGCGAAGGCGGCCUUCUGGACGAUGACUGACGCUGGAGACGCGAAAGCGUGGGGAGCAAACAGG
rnacentral:rRNA from 1 species